GCCGUACCAAUUAUUGCUUAAAUAUUUCUAUCUGCAGACUGCAAAUUAAAUGCUCUUUUCCCUGUUUUUGGGACUGCAAUAUUGCGAAUUCUUCAAAUCACCUUCAACAAAGGUUUCCUCUAACUUACCUACUCUUCAAAAAAAAUUCCCCUGCCUUUUACAAUUUUACAACUUCAAGUUUUUUUCUAGAUUUUGAGCAUAUUUUUAAGAAAUACAUGUUUCUGUCUAUUUGCUAUUCGAGAAUCAACAUGUAGCUGGUAUCUACUUUUAUUUAUGUUCUUAACAUGAAAGAAUUCGGUGCUGUUUUGUGAUCCAGACUUGAAAGCAACUGUUUUCCUUUUUUUUGGCAUAAUACAUAAGUAUGCCAUUUAUGGCUUCAGCAACAUUUAUGCCCUCCAUUCAUGAUCAAGUAUACACUUGCGUGUCGUUUGGUGUGAGAGAUAAAAAUAAAUAGUGAUGGGAUAAAAUUUUCUUGUCAUGUUUGGGAUAACUUGUUCCCAACCAAACGACCCCUUUAAACUUGUAUAAAAUUGAACAAGUAGAUACACGUAUUCUAUGUGGCAUAAUACACGUAGAAUGCCAUGUAGUUUGUUCAAUUUUAUACAAAUUUAAAUUAUUACUUGUGCAUAUCCAAAGUUAAAUGACAUAAAUAUCAGUUGAAGCUAAGUUAAAAGGACAUAUUUAUGGAUAAUGUUUUUCUUUUUUUGGAAGUUUUCUGCCUUGGGGUUCUCAGUUUAUGGAUAUUUAUGAGGACUGAAGCUACCUAGACGACCCAGUAUCAUUGUUAAUAGUGGAACUACCUGUUCGAAUAACAGCUCCAUAGUACUCCUUUACUCGCCUUUAAUUUUAUUGGUCUCUGAAGUUGUUGUGUUUUACCUUAGGUAUUUGUAUUGUACUGUAUUAUUUUAAUGAAUAUAAGUAAAUGAUAAAGUAGAAUUAUAAGAUAACAUGAGAUGAAAAUAUGUUCACAUCAAAUUGAUCGUUACAUAAAAUGAGACUUUUCGUUGUAACGUUAUGAUAAAUUUAAAUAAUCCGAUAUAAUAAAAUUUAAGUAACAAUUAAAAAAAAAAUUAUAAUUAAACUAGCCAUACAAUACUCAAUACAUAUUCCAAACAAGGUGUUGCGGGAUCCACUUGACACUCCCUUUAGCCUGCUUUUGGUGUUGGAAUAGUGGCAUUAUCUUAAAACCUUCAACAAGGUUUCCUCUAACUUACCUACUCUUCAAAAUUUCUUCUCUGAGUUAUAGAAUUUAUAAGCAAUUCACCUACUAUAUGAUAACUUUGUUAUUUCUAGAUUCUGAGCGCAUGUACUGAAGCUCCCAAGAAGACCCAGUAUUGUUGUUAAUAGUGGAACCAUAUGUUUGAAUAGCAGCUCCAUAGUACUCCUUUUACUUGGUUUUAAGCUGAUUGGUCUAUGAAGUUCUUGUGUUUUACCUUAUUUUGUGUUCUUUAGUAAAUGUUCAAAAACAACUACUAUUAUGUCUCAAUUCAAAACUAUUUGGGGUCGACUAUAUAAAUCAUCACUGUCAAUUUUAACCACUAAGAGUUCUCUUACUAUUCCUAUUGAUAUACACAUCUCCAAACAUAUUGAAGAGCCUUAGUGGUUAAAAUUGACAUAUUGAUAGCAACUUGCUGCAUUUGUGCUUUAGCAACAGGACAUAGUAUGCUUUUUCUGGAUGAGUUACUGGAGAAAUGAUUGUUGAAGCAUUGCUAUUUGUUUUCCAAUAUUGCCCCUGUCCAACUGUCCAAUAUUACGUGUGACUUCUCGUAGCUAAAAGACAGACAUCAGUUUUAUAUCUUAUGUUCCUUUAAGGCUUAAUUCUUGAAUCUCUGAAACUCUUAGCCUGAUGUACUGUGUAUUUGCUUAGACUAAUAUUGACCAUGUCAAACUAUCACCAGAAUAUGUUUUAUACCUCUCUCAUGAAGUAUUGUAUAUAUUCUAAACUUCUAGUUUCAUUCUUAACGGUCUCUUACUUUUUUCUCCAGGUAGCAACAUACUAUGACUGGAAGCAUGGAAGAUGGUUUGUUAGAUGAGAGUAGUCUCAGAAAAUCCAGUCGGCAAUUCCAUGUUACAACAAAUCUUGUUUUGAGCACCUCAGUUGCUGCCUGUGGUUACUU
rnacentral:lncRNA from 1 species